GGAAAAUGGGAUAUCUGUCAGUUACAAAAUGAAGCAAACCUUGAAGAAACUCCAAUAUUUGAGGAAGUCUAACUCCUACUAGAAAUAUGCCAUGAGUGCCAGAACUUUGUUGAAAUCCCUAGUAUCCAGAAGAAUGUCUGACAAGAAGGAGUGGACUCUGAAGAGCCAUGGGGGAAAUUCUGAGUGUGAUGGAAGGGGUCUAUAUUGUGACUGUGAUGACAGGUCACUUCCCUCUGUAAGAUCAAGUCACACAUAAAAACCCAAUUUGGACUUC